UACGGAGGGAGCUAGCGUUGUUCGGAAUUACUGGGCGUAAAGCGUGCGCAGGCGGUUUUGUAAGCCAGGUGUGAAAUCCCCGGGCUCAACCUGGGAAUGGCAUUUGGGACUGCAAGGCUGGAGUGCGGCAGAGGAGACUGGAAUUCCUGGUGUAGCAGUGAAAUGCGUAGAUAUCAGGAGGAACACCGAUGGCGAAGGCAGGUCUCUGGGCUGACACUGACGCUCAUGCACGAAAGCGUGGGGAGCAAACAGG
rnacentral:rRNA from 1 species